UGUCAAGUCCAAAAUGGAGGCA
rnacentral:piRNA from 1 species